CGCGCUCCCACGUGGCCGGCCGAGCGGUUCGGGGCGGGGGGGCGGACCUGGAAAGCUCUAGAUCCGGGGGUCUUUACCUUGACCCAUGGGUAGAAUCGCUCUAGCAAUUAGAAAUAAGCCUCCCGGAUGCCGCCCCCGUACGAUUAAAGCAGAAGCUGGGAUGUGGGGCCCAGGUGGAGGAGUCCGUGCUCAACCUGGGCAAAUUCCACAACAUCGUUCGUCUGGUGGCCUUUUGUCCCUUUGCCUCAUCCCAGGUUGCCUUGGAAAAUGCCAACGCCGUGUCUGAAGGGGUUGUUCAUGAGGACCUCCGCCUGCUCUUGGAGACCCACCUGCCGUCCAAAAAGAAGAAAGUACUCUUGGGAGUUGGGGAUCCCAAGAUUGGUGCUGCAAUACAGGAGGAGUUAGGGUACAACUGCCAGACUGGAGGAGUCAUAGCUGAGAUCCUGCGAGGAGUUCGUCUGCACUUCCACAAUCUGGUGAAGGGUCUGACCGAUCUGUCAGCUUGUAAAGCACAGCUGGGGCUGGGACACAGCUAUUCCCGUGCCAAAGUUAAGUUUAAUGUGAACCGGGUGGACAAUAUGAUCAUCCAGUCCAUUAGCCUCCUGGACCAGCUGGAUAAGGACAUCAAUACCUUCUCUAUGCGUGUCAGGGAGUGGUACGGGUAUCACUUUCCGGAGCUGGUGAAGAUCAUCAACGACAAUGCCACAUACUGCCGUCUUGCCCAGUUUAUUGGAAACCGAAGGGAACUGAAUGAGGACAAGCUGGAGAAGCUGGAGGAGCUGACAAUGGAUGGGGCCAAGGCUAAGGCUAUUCUGGAUGCCUCACGGUCCUCCAUGG
rnacentral:sRNA from 1 species